rnacentral:rRNA from 1 species
UGAGGAAUAUUGGUCAAUGGGCGAGAGCCUGAACCAGCCAAGUCGCGUGAAGGAAGACAGUCCUAAGGAUUGUAAACUUCUUUUAUACGGGAAUAACGGGCGAUACGAGUAUUGCAUUGAAUGUACCGUAAGAAUAAGCAUCGGCUAACUCCGUGCCAGCAGCCGCGGUAAUACGGAGGAUGCGAGCGUUAUCCAGAUUUAUUGGGUUUAAAGGGUGCGUAGGUUGUUCGGUAAGUCAGCGGUGAAACCUGAGCGCUCAACGUUCAGCCUGCCGUUGAAACUGCCGGGCUUGAGUUCAGUGGCGGCAGGCGGAAUUCGUGGUGUAGCGGUGAAAUGCAUAGAUAUCACGAGGAACUCCGAUUGCGAAGGCAGCUUGCCAUACUGCGACUGACACUGAAGCACGAAGGCGUGGGUAUCAAACAGG